rnacentral:rRNA from 1 species
GAUGAACGCUGGCGGCGUGCCUAAUACAUGCAAGUCGAGCGAACCACUUCGGUGGUGAGCGGCGAACGGGUGAGUAACACGUAGGUUAUCUGCCCAUCAGACGGGGACAACGAUUGGAAACGAUCGCUAAUACCGGAUAGGACGAAAGUUUAAAGGUGCUUCGGCACCACUGAUGGAUGAGCCUGCGGCGCAUUAGCUAGUUGGUAGGGUAAAGGCCUACCAAGGCGACGAUGCGUAGCCGACCUGAGAGGGUGAACGGCCACACUGGGACUGAGACACGGCCCAGACUCCUGCGGGAGGCAGCAGUAGGGAAUCUUCGGCAAUGGGCGAAAGCCUGACCGAGCAACGCCGCGUGAAUGAUGAAGGCCUUCGGGUUGUAAAAUUCUGUUAUAAGGGAAGAAUGGCUUUAGUAGGAAAUGGCUAGAGUGUGACGGUACCUUAUGAGAAAGCCACGGCUAACUACGUGCCAGCAGCCGCCGUAAUAC